CUUGCCUUCAAUUUCUGCCUUUUGGCAGCCUGUUCAGCUUGCAUGAGGAGGUGAACUUCAGCGAUUCUAUCAGUUCCAAAAGAAGUUUGAAGCUUUGCUAAACCAGCUUCCAGUAGGGUCACCGCCACAUUGGAUCUUGAUUCCCAUAAUGUUCCAAUGAAAGUCCCUGUUCUGUCAACUGUUUCUA